GGGUAUAUAAACAGGGCGAGCGGGAUUUCUCGCUCUCUCGCGGCGGUGUUCAGUAUGGCUGAUUCGCGGUUCUGUGCGGCUCGGUACCGGUUUAAUCCGUGUUUUAGCGAAACAGCGAUGGAUCUGACGUAAAAACAGAGGAACGGUGGGCCGGUGACCCUCUGAUUUCCCCCUAUACCGGAGUUCACCAUGUGUGGAUCUGAUUGGCUCCCUGAUCCUGGCGAGUCGUCACUUCAUUUAAGACUGCCUGCUGUUACCAGCUGAAGUGGAAAAGGUACUGAUCACAUCAAAACAGCUGGUGUUUUAUCCUCUUGAAAGUGACUUUGUGCUCUAUAUAUAUGGGAAUAUCCUCCUGGAUUUAACUGGCCUGACUGUAGGUUGAGGGAGAUGGAGAACUGGACCUCAUCUGAUGGAAGAUGAAGACACUGUCUGAUGUGGAUCUUUAAUUCAGGAGCUGCUCGAUUUCUGCGUCUUAGACUGUAGAAGCUACCAGAAGCCCAAACAAGGAGUUUAUAGAUCUAUUUUUAAUGUAUCAGUAUAAAGGCAGUGGUUCUGAAACUGUUCCUCUGUAAUGUAUGGAUGGAAUGUAUCUCUGUAAUGCUGUCUUGGAAGGUUGUGUAAAAGGCAUUUUUCAUUAAGUGUUUCACCACAUGAAUAAAAUGUACCUGUUUUUGUUGAACAAGA